AGAAUAGUAUUUUAAUAAAAAAAAAUUGAUCUGCAAUCAAAAAAUGCCUCUGCCUAUUCU
rnacentral:tRNA from 1 species